rnacentral:rRNA from 1 species
AGUAGUUUGUAUCCUGGCUCGAGACGAACGCUGGCGGCGUGCUUAACACAUGCAAGUCGACGGAAAGGCCCUGCUUUUGUGGGUGCUCGAGUGGCGAACGGGUGAGUAACACGUGAGUAACCUGCCCUUGACUUUGGGAUAACUUCAGGAAACUGGGGCUAAUACCGGAUAGGAGCUCCUGCUGCAUGGUGGGGGUUGGAAAGUUUCGGCGGUUGGGGAUGGACUCGCGGCUUAUCAGCUUGUUGGUGGGGUAGUGGCUUACCAAGGCUUUGACGGGUAGCCGGCCUGAGAGGGUGACCGGCCACAUUGGGACUGAGAUACGGCCCAGACUCCUACGGGAGGCAGCAGUGGGGAAUAUUGCGCAAUGGGCGGAAGCCUGAUGCAGCAACGCCGCGUGCGGGAUGACGGCCUUCGGGUUGUAAACCGCUUUCGCCUGUGACGAAGCGUGAGUGACGGUAAUGGGUAAAGAAGCACCGGCUAACUACGUG